CGAGGUGUUGGGGAGUUUGGUCACCCCGCCUGCUUUGGGAGCAGGAGAACUCGCGCGUUCGAAUCGCGCCACCUCGACCA
rnacentral:tRNA from 1 species